rnacentral:rRNA from 1 species
UACGUAGGAUCCAAGCGUUAUCCGGAUUUACUGGGCGUAAAGAGUUGCGUAGGUGGCAAAGUAAGUUAGUAGUGAAAUCGUGUGGCUCAACCAUACUUACAUUACUAAAACUGCUUAGCUUGAGAAUGAGAGAGGUCACUGGAAUUCCUUGUGUAGGAGUGAAAUCCGUAGAUAUAAGGAGGAACACCGAUGGCGUAGGCAGGUGACUGGCUCAUUUCUGACACUGAGGCACGAAAGCGUGGGGAGCGAACGGG